AUGAUAAAAAAGAUAAUUUUUGAUGUGGAAGAGUACUACUCCGAUAUCCAAGAAGAGACUAAUAUUUUGCAGGAGUCUAUGGAAGAAGAAAUUGAUGAAACUGUGAGCUCAUUGGAUGAACAAGAUGAGGAGAAGAGCGAAGAACAAAAGGAGGAAGAGCGGAUUAGCUACCCGUGCCCACCUUCUAAUGAGAGUAACUCUUCAACUCAUACAUUGUUUAAUUUCCCUUCGUGCUUACCGGAGGAUGAUUGCUAUGAUGACUGCUAUGAUCCUGUUGAUUCUUUUGAAAUAUCCCUUUUUGAUGAUGCUUGCUAUACUUGUGGCCAAGAUGCCAAUAUAAAUUAUUCCUAUGGAGAUGAACUUGCUAUCGUUCCUUAUGUUAAACAUGAAAUUGUUGCUAUCGCACCCACACAUGAUAGUCCUAUUAUCUUUUGA
rnacentral:rRNA from 1 species